rnacentral:rRNA from 1 species
GGGUGAGUAAUGCCUAGGAAUCUGCCUGGUAGUGGGGGACAACGUUUCGAAAGGAACGCUAAUACCGCAUACGUCCUACGGGAGAAAGCAGGGGACCUUCGGGCCUUGCGCUAUCAGAUGAGCCUAGGUCGGAUUAGCUAGUUGGUGAGGUAAUGGCUCACCAAGGCGACGAUCCGUAACUGGCCUGAGAGGAUGAUCAGUCACACUGGAACUGAGACACGGUCCAG